CCCUUAGAUGUUCUGGGCCGCACGCGCGCUACACUGACUGACUCAACGAGUUUACAACCUGUGCCGAAAGGUAUGGGUAAUCUUUUGAAAUUCAGUCGUGAUGGGGCUAGAUUAUUGCAACUAUUAAUCUUCAACGAGGAAUGCCUAGUAAGCGCAAGUCAUCAGCUUGCGUUGAUUACGUCCCUGCCCUUUGUACACACCGCCCGUCGCUCCUACCGAUUGAAUGGUCCGGUGAAGCGUUCGGACCGUGGCCUUUGGACGGUUCGCCGUCUGUUGGCUGCGGGAAGUUCGUUAAACCUUAUCAUUUAGAGGAAGGAGAAGUCGUAACA
rnacentral:rRNA from 1 species